GACGGAGGGGGCAAGCGUUGUCCGGACUCACUGGGCGUAAAGGGUGCGUAGGCGGUCGUGCAAGUCGGAUGUGAAAUCUCAGGGCUCAACCCUGAAACUGCAUUCGAUACUGCGUGGCUAGAGUGCUGGAGAGGAGACUGGAAUUUACGGUGUAGCAGUGAAAUGCGUAGAUAUCAAGCGGAACACCGGUGGCGAAGGCGGCCUUCUGGACAGUGACUGACGCUGAGACGCGAAAGCGUGGGGAGCAAACAGG
rnacentral:rRNA from 1 species